ACAGCAGCAGCCGCGGUAACACGGAGGGUGCAAGCGUUACUCGGAAUCACUGGGCGUAAAGGACGCGUAGGCGGAUUAUCAAGUCUCUUGUGAAAUCUAACGGCUUAACCGUUAAACUGCUUGGGAAACUGAUAAUCUAGAGUAAGGGAGAGGCAGAUGGAAUUCUUGGUGUAGGGGUAAAAUCCGUAGAGAUCAAGAAGAAUACCCAUUGCGAAAGCGAUCUGCUGGAACUUAACUGACGCUAAUGCGUGAAAGCGUGGGGAGCAAACAGGAUUAGAUACCCCCGUAGUCCCUGUCUCUUAUAC
rnacentral:rRNA from 1 species